CUCCUUAUUCAGAAACCUGCUUCUGCCACAAAGCUGGCUAACAAGGAAUUGCUACGGGGAUGCUGUUUCAUUCAGAAUCUAAAGGAGAAGGGAAAGGAAAGUGUUUUCAUAAGGGCAAACGGUCCAGAUGAUAAGAAGUUGGCAUUUUGGCAGCGUGAGCACAUGAACUUAAUCUGGACUCCAUGUGAGUAGCUGUGUUCCCUUUGGCUGUACAAGUGCCUGGGAACAUUAAAGGUAAUACAUUGUCACAACUGACGUCCACGCCUGCAGGAGUGUUUGUUUAAUUAGGCAGGAGAAUGAGCAGAGCCAGAGAG
rnacentral:lncRNA from 11 species